UACAGAGGGGUGCGAGCGUUUAAUCCGGAAUUACUGGGCGUAAAGCGCACGUAGGCGGCUUGGUAUGUCGGGGUGUGAAAUCCCCCGGGCUCAACCUGGGGAACUGCAUCCGAAACUGCCUUGCUCGAGUAUGGGAGAGGGAAGUGGAAUUUCCGGUGUAGCGGUGAAAUGCGUAGAUAUCGGAAGGAACAUCAGUGGCGAAGGCGGGGUCUCUGGGCCGAUAC
rnacentral:rRNA from 1 species